rnacentral:rRNA from 1 species
CAGCAGCCGCGGUAAUACGAGGGGGGCAAGCGUUGUUCGGAAUUAUUGGGCGUAAAGGGUGCGUAGGCGGCUCAGCAAGUCUCGUGUGAAAUCUUCGGGCUCAACCCGAAGUCUGCACGGGAAACUACUGGGCUUGAGUAAUGGAGAGGUGAGUGGAAUUUCCGGUGUAGCGGUGAAAUGCGUAGAUAUCGGAAGGAACACCUGUGGCGAAAGCGGCUCACUGGACAUUUACUGACGCUGAUGCACGAAAGCUAGGGGAGCAAACAGGAUUAGAUACCCCCGUAGUCCCUGUCUCUUAUAC